rnacentral:lncRNA from 1 species
GAAGGGCUCCUGGAACGCGGCCAGAGCGGACGCAGAGGCCCAGGAGGCGCCGAGAGCCGAGAGCGAGCAAGGGCUGCCCUCACGUUUUCACCUCUCAACAGGAGGAAGUAAAGGAAAUUUUACCUACAAAAUAGCAAUACUAAGCUUUACAGCUGAUAUUACAACAGCAACAAGAAAAGGCUGGUGAUGUGCAAUAUGAUGCUCUCUCCAGAUGCUAGGCAGUCAGCCAGGAAAUCAGUAGGAUAAACAACCGACAUUCUUCAGCUUCUUCAGCGUACCGUGUUGUCAGAUGAUUCUGCCCAGCUGCAGGCUAAUGUAAGUGUCCUGAGGAUGUUCAAGUGCUGAAAUCAAGAUGUCAACCAGCUGGUCUUUUUUCGGGAGGAUCUGAGAAAAAUCUGCUUUCAAGUCCAUUUAGAUUCUUUGUCUUUUUAUCUAUGGACCAACUGUCAUCUUUCCUAACAGAAGACUACGCAUCUCUGUGACACCUCUCAGAUGACAACAAAGUUCUGUAAGGUUUCUUGUGUGGAAAUGAGAGGACACAUCCUCAAAUCCUGCCAGCAUUUGUUUAGUAAGAGUGCUUGAUCAUUUGAGGGUUACUUUUAAAUUUCCUGAGCCAAUGGUCCUCCUAAGCCAACUAUUCAGUCUGUGUAAUGGCUGAUGAAAUUAACAAGGAACAAAUCAAAUCCCAAUUGCCUAUACAGCGGUACAUCAAAGAUAUGCAUAUCCAAAACAUAGAUAAAAUCAUAUAUACUAUCUUAUAGUGUGGUUUUUGUCUAGAGAUGUUUUCAUUUUUUACUCUUUCUAGACCAAUAAGCCACACAGAAUGAUUUACAUUAGUGUUAAUGGGCCAGAUGGUUUUGAACAACAUUGAUACCAUUUAAUAGGCAUAAGAUAUACUUUAGAUUUUAUUUAAUGUUUAUGUCAUCUUUAUGUAACUAUGUUAGAGUCAAUAAAUGAUAAAUGCUUACAAUUUUCAAGUAAAUAGUAAAAUAGCCAAUAGUUCUUGGAUAUGCAAUUGCAGUAUUCUACAGUCAACGAAAUUAGUAUUAAAACCAGCUUAACUUCUAUGACAAGCAAGUAUAAGUACCUUAGAAAUAUGUUGGCUUUCAUAAUGAAGCUAUAUUGAUAUACAAUAUUGAAUGUAUAUUCUACAAAUUGAAAUUUUUAAAGAAAUAAGCUGACUGCAUUUAUAGAUCUCCUAGGAGACUUCCACUCCAUGUGAACUUAGAGAUCAUCAUUUUUAUCAUUUUACAGUGCAGUUUACCAUCACAUUUUAAAGUGAAUUUACCAUCACAUUUAAUUUAAUAUGAAUAGUGUCUUUAAGUUGGGUUUAAUGUUCCCAAUGUUUCAAGUGAUAAAAUUGGGGAUCUGAAUUUUAAAUAAUUUGUCUCAGGACACAAAGAUACAAAGUGGCACAAGCCAUCAUUUAAACACAAGUGUGUUGUAGGAGACUGCAUCGCACAAGGCGCUAAAUUGACCUGCAUAAUUUUUUUUCUUUUUUUAUACGGAGUCUCGCUCUGUCACCCAGGCUGGCGUGCAAUAGUUCAAUCUCAGCUCACUGCAACCUCCGCCUCCCGGGUUCAAGAGAUUCUUCUGCCUCAGCCUCCAGAGUAGCUGGGAUUACAGGCACAUGCAACAAUGCCCGAGUAAUUUUUGUAUUUAUUUUAUUUUAUUUUAUUUAGUAGAGAUGAGGUUUCCCCAUGUUGGUCAGAUAGGUCUCAAACUCCUGACUUCAGGUGAUCCACCUGCCUUGGCCUCCCAAAGUGCUUGGGAUUACAGGCGUGAGCCACCGCACCUGGCCCCUGCAAAAAUUUUUUAGGCAUUCACUCUACAAAGGGCUCACUGGCAUUUUUCACAACACUGAUUUGUUUUCUUGCAAAGAUGUAGACAUUCCUUUCUGCCACACAUCUAUCGUCUACAAUAAGAACCUAGUUCUUCUCCAGCAUGGAUAGAGUGAGGCUUGUAAAUUCUUCUGUGAGGCAACUUAGCUGAUGUGGAGGAAUGGUUCUCAGCAUAUGCUUUAUUAUUUUUCUUCAUUUUCAAAGGCGAGUAUAUCUUUUGCAAAAUCAUGCAGGUUUUUUGUUUGUUGUUGUUUCUUUUUUAUUUUUCUUUUUACUCUUGCCACAACACAAAUGUUUUACUCCUUUUCUAACACAAAUUUUCCUUACCUACAUCCAAUGUACUGAAAGACUUAAAAAUGAAAUACUGUCUAAGCCUUUGAGAUAUAAAAUUGAAUUAGAUUUACACUACACAAAACUGUCUCUCUAUAGUCCACAUAAUCUCUCCCAUCUCAAAAAUUGCAUUGCUAAUAUAUAUGAACUGAAAGACAAGCCAAUUCAGGAAGGAGCUGAUUCAAGAAGUGCAAAGAGAAAAUCCCACUACAGUGAGUUUUCAACUCAAUUAAAUAAGACUCAAGAGACUGGGCAAAUUAUUGGGGCUAUUCAUAUUAUUUCAUUAGAGCAAAAUUUCACUGUAAUGAAAAAAGAAGUUAUUAGCUAGACCUUGAAAAGGCAACUCAAGAUUAUUUUUCUAAUGUGAUUUGACUUCUUUAUAAGUAUUUCUUAAAGCUAGUUUUAUCUGUCAUCGUUUAUUAUAAGAGGUUUCAUAAUUGUUUUUCAAGAAAUGCCAAAUUGCUAAAUCUCAAUGGGGAGCUUCAUGUGUAUAUUUCUGAAGAGCAAAGACUACAUGCAUUUUUAUUUGGAAGUAUGUUAAUAGACACCAUUUUCUGAAAAA